rnacentral:misc_RNA from 1 species
AACGUUCCCAAAUAACCAAGUCUAUCAUCAGCUGAAGAGAAUUUUUUUAUUUUAUGCAUAUAUUAUUUAGUUGUGGUACUUCUGACAAAUCAGUACCUAUUAGUCUUAAUCUGUUAAAAAUGUAACAAGUGACUUUUCUAAUAUUUACACAUUAAAUACCGCCUACCUGUACAGCAUUACUUUAAAAUUUCAUGAUCCUGCUUAAAAUAAGUGAAAAGCUACACGCAAUUUACACUUUGAAUCGCUCUCCUGUAAAGUUGCUGUUUUUCACAUCCGACGUUUUUAAUAGUCAUAGGCG